rnacentral:lncRNA from 1 species
GACUGAAGUACAUACUAUACUGUAAGAAAAGGUAAGGUUGAACGCCUCCUCUCUUACUCUGCCUCCCGAAAAAAGCUUCUUCCAAGCAGGUGUGACAUCUACUCGCAUGGCCUGCUGCUUGGAACCCACCUGGCAAUCUGUUCCACGUCUGCCCUGGCCUGUCUCUCCCUGUCUAGUACAGACCUAUCUGCUGCCUUUGAUACUGUGAACCAUCAGAUCCUCCUCUCCACUCUCUCCGAGUUGGGCAUCUCCGGCGCGGCCCACGCUUGGAUUGCAUCCUACCUGACAGGCGGCGAAUCGCAUCUCUGCAUGUCUGUCAGACAUAUCAGUGUGGAUGACGGAUCACCAGCUCAAGCUGAACCUCGGCAAGACGGAGCUGCUCUUCCUCCCGGGGAAGGACUGCCCCUUCCAUGAUCUCGCCAUCACGGUUGACAACUCCCUUGUGUCCUCC